CCACUCUGGAUGACCAAGACAAUUGGGUGAGUUAGUCGUUAGCUGCAUGCAUAGGUUAGUUGGUGAGCUAGCUAAAAGAUAAGUUAGUUGAUCGGCGUGGACUGAGUGAUUCAGUCAUCGGGUGCUAGUUGCGUCUGUUUCUGUAGUGGACGGUUGGCCGGCCGAGUUAUUGGCAGCAGCGAGUGACUCCAGGAGGUGAAGGUGGACGUGCGUACGUGGGAUUAGUUUCCCAGAGAUGUGGCUGGCUAGUGCGUGGGUGGGUCGAGUCCCCUGUGUAUAUAUGUUGCACUUUGAGUUAAUGAAAGCCAAGGCCGAGAGGGCUGAGAAACAAUGUAGCAUUUGUGUAACCAAGGAGGAGAGCCUCCCGGCAAAGCUAGCUAGUUCUCUUCCUUGGUACAUGGGUGUGUGUGCGUGUAUGUGUUUGGAGUUUCUUCAAUGUGUGUGUGUUUGAGAGAAACCACAAGAGAGAAGGUUGAGCUGUGAGAGACAGCCAAGAAGAAGAAGAAGGCGCUGAGAGGAGGCAGCGCCAACACCCUCACCGAACGCCCUCCCGACGACCACUUCUCCACCAGCAGCGCCACCCCGCUCCUCAGCUGCACCUCCACCAGCGAAUGGCUGCUUCGAUCAACAUCGACAGUUUCACGGCAGGCUGUUCUGCGACAGGAGGAUUCGCGGCGUGCUGGGUGGUCUCGGUGUCGAUGCCAUCGCGGGUUGCCUCCACUCCCCCGCCGUCGCUGCUCAACUUGGUCUCCGUCGGCGCCGCUCAAUUCGGCCUCUGUUGCCGCUCUCCGAUCCUCCUGCUUCGACCCCUCACCGGUUCUGACGAGAAGAAGUAGAGCUGGGAGGAUGCGGAGUGAUGUGGUGAGGAGCAACAGUUGCAGAGCAUUAGCACUGCGGCAACACACUUCUAUGGUGGUGUAGUGCUUUCAUAGACGAGGAAAAGAACGCAUAUACAAGCUCAUAUAUUUGUUAUCUUCUUUCCUGAAUCAUGAUUCCUGUUCUGGAACUACUUCCAUGUCCAAUACUUUGGUGUCCGACCUUGGUAUUGGUUGUCCAUUUCCUUUCUGAACACAUGAGCUUUGGUAUGGAUCUUGGGAGCAAGUCAUCCUCAGUUUGCUUCCAGUGGAGUAGUGGCGGGGAAGUGGGAGAAUAUUAGGUCCUACCACACUAAGGAGCACAUGUCUAUAGGGAAGGAGUUUAUCGAGGAUCUGUGAGCCAAUAAAUAAUAGGGAGACGUAUGAUAUCAAUAUGGAACCCAGCCCAGUUUUGGUUCAGCACCUUUUGUUAGGAGCUCUUUUGGUGCAGGAAUAAUCAACUAAGAUGACAUUAGUAGUAUAUGUCAACGUACAAGAGUUUGUGAUGACCAAAUAUGAGAUCUCUGGUGCUUAGGUGCGGGUGCCGUCGGUACUCCUCUGCUUCCCAACGGACUCCGACGUCCUGGUCUGAUAGCAGAGAAGCCAAAUCAUGGCCAGUUCGUACCAGCACCAAUAGUACUCCGGCAAUCUGGGAUAUUAGUUACUAAAGAAAAUGGUUUGAGGUCAAGAGUUGAAAGCCUGAAGCCAGAUGUUCCUACGAUGACCUACACAACUCUUGAGAAACAAAACCAAAACAUUAUGUGCCUGCAAGAUUGAAGAUCGUACAUAUAUUUACUUUGCUCCAGGAUCCUAUAGCAGUGCAUUACUCCAUGCAGUUCCCUUUAUCAUCCAUUUUAUUAUUCAUAUCUCUAUAUGGUUGUUAUAUAUAGAUGCUAUUACAGGGAUGUAGCACUAUAUUUUCCAGCCAUUGUUGUAAACAAAACACCCUCUAUACUGAUACAUAUGUUUUUUUCUUUUAGUUAUCUCUUUUCAGAGUGGACGAGGUUUCU